rnacentral:rRNA from 1 species
CGGCAACAGCUCAAAUUUGAAAUCUGGCCCUCGUGGUCCGAGUUGUAAUUUGUAGAGGAUGCUUUUGGUGCGGUGCCUUCCGAGUUCCCUGGAACGGGACGCCAUAGAGGGUGAGAGCCCCGUCUGGUUGGACACCAAUCCUCUGUAAAGCUCCUUCGACGAGUCGAGUAGUUUGGGAAUGCUGCUCUAAAUGGGAGGUAAAUGUCUUCUAAAGCUAAAUACCGGCCAGAGACCGAUAGCGCACAAGUAGAGUGAUCGAAAGAUGAAAAGCACUUUGAAAAGAGGGUUAAAUAGUACGUGAAAUUGUUGAAAGGGAAGCGUUUGUGACCAGACUUGGGCCCGGUUAAUCAUCCAGCGUUCUCGCUGGUGCACUUUGCCGGCCCAGGCCAGCAUCAGUUCGCCGCGGGGGACAAAAGCUGCGGGAAUGUGGCUCUUCGGAGUGUUAUAGCCCGCUGCACAAUACCCUGUGGCGGACUGAGGUUCGCGCAUCUGCAAGGAUGCUGGCGUAAUGGUCAUCAACGACCCGUCUUGAAACACGGACCAAGGAGUCGUCUUCGUAUGCGAGUGUUCGGGUGUCAAACCCCUACGCGUAAUGAAAGUGAACGGAGGUGGGAGCCUCGGCGCACCAUCGACCGAUCCUGAAGUUUACGGAUGGAUUUGAGUAAGAGCAUACGGGGCCGGACCCGAAAGAAGGUGAACUAUGCCUGUAUAGGGUGAAGCCAGAGGAAACUCUGGUGGAGGCUCGCAGCGGUUCUGACGUGCAAAUCGAUCGUCAAAUAUGGGCAUGGGGGCGAA